UGCAAACCUUAGAUAAGGCUAGUAGUAAUAUUAUGAUUUUUAGAGAGUUAGUGGCUGGUGUAAACUAAUAUUCAUGUAUUGUGAAUCCACCUUUGAGGGACUGUGAAUUAAGCAGUACGGUAAUAUCGUUAAAUUUUAGAGUGAAUAACAUUUAUGUUAUUAAUUAGGGUGGCAACGCGGAGUUUUUCGUCCCUUUU
rnacentral:ncRNA from 1 species